AUGGCAACAAUACUAUAUACUUUGGUUGGAUCGUGCCUCAAUAAGUUGCAAGGGAUCAUUACAGAUGAGGCAAUACUCAUUUUAGGAGUAAAAGACGAGCUAGAAGAACUGCAGCGAAGAACAGAUCUUAUAAAAUCUUCUCUUACUGAUGCUGAGGCUAGGAAGAUGGAAGAUUCAACAGUUGAAAAAUGGCUUGGCCAACUAAGAGAUGUCAUAUAUGAUGUCGAUGAUAUUAUUGAUUUCGCUAGAUUUAAAGGAAGUGUCCUACUACCUGACCAUCCUGUGUCAUCGACAAGAAAAUCAAAUACUUGCACUGGACUUUCAAUUUCGUCCUGCUUUUCUAAUAUCCGGACACGUCAUGAAAUUGCUGUCAAAAUUAGAAGCCUCAACAAAAAGAUAGAGAAUAUUUCAAAGGAUGAGGUAUUUUUUAAACUGAACCGCACACAAACUAAUGGAAAAGGUUCAGCGUGGACACCAAUAGAAAGCUCCAGUCUGGUUGAGCCCAACCUUGUGGGCAAGGAGGUCCUAUAUGCUUGCAGAGAACUGGUGGAUUUGGUACUUAAGCACAAGGAAAGUAAGGACUAUAAGAUUGCAAUUGUCGGAACAGGAGGAGUUGGUAAAACAACACUAGCUCAGAAAAUAUUCAAUGAUAAAAAAUUAGAAGGUAGAUUCGACAAGCAUGCGUGGGUUUGUGUUUCCAAGGAGUAUUCUAGGGAUUCUCUUCUGAAACAAGUUCUUCGUAAUAUGGGAAUUCGAUAUGAGCAAGAUGAAUCAGUCCCAGAGCUCCAAAGAAAGCUUAGGUCAGACAUCACAGAUAAGAGCUUUUUCUUGGUGUUGGAUGAUAUGUGGCGCUCUGAAGCAUGGAUAGAUCUACUAAGCACUCCACUGCAUGCUGCAGCGACAGGAAUGAUUCUAGUAACCACUCGAGAUGACACUAUUGCUAGAGUAAUUGGUGUGGACCACACCCAUAGAGUUGAUUUGAUGUCAGCUAACGUAGGAUAGGAGUUGCUUUGGAGGAGCAUGAACAUCAAAGAAGAGAAACAAGUACAAAAUCUAAAGCACAUAGGUGUUAAGAUUGUUAACAAAUGUGGUGGCCUUCCCCUAGCAAUCAGGGUUAUUGCAAAAGUCUUAGCUAGCCAAGAUCACACGGAUAAUGAAUGGAAACGGAUCUUGGCAGGGAAUGCCUGGUCUAUGAGAAAACUUCCUAAUGAAUUAAGAGGUGCUUUAUACCUGAGUUAUGAAGCGUUGCCGCACCAGUUGAAGCAAUGUUUCCUUUAUUGUGCAUUAUAUCCUGAAGAUGCAGCCAUUUGGCGUGAUGAUAUUACCAGGAUGUGGGUUGCUGAAGGCUUUAUAGAUGAGCAAGAAGGCCAGCUACUAGAAUACACAGCAGAGAGAUAUUAUUAUGAGCUGAUCCAUCGGAACAUGCUUCAAGCAGACAUCUAUUAUGCUGACCACAGUAGGUGUAAGAUGCAUGACCUCUUAAGGCAGCUUGCUUGUCAUUUAUCAAGAGAAGAAUGUUUUGUUGGAGAUCCAGAGUCACUAGGGACUAAUACCAUGCGCAAAGUACGACGUAUUUUGGUUGUCACUGAGAAGGAGACGAUGGUGUUACCUAGCAUCGAUAAGGAUCAAUAUAAAGUGCGUACUUAUAGAACUUCCUAUAAGACGCCACUGCAAGUUGAUAAUUCACUUUUCAAACAACUUAAAUACGUUCGUGUUUUGGAUUUGACUAGUUCCCUUGUACAAAACAUCCCAAGUUGCAUUGGAAAUCUGAUUCAUCUCCGUUUGCUUGAUCUUGAUGGGACAAAUAUUUCUCAUCUACCAGAGUCCAUCGGUAGAAUUCAAAGCCUUCAAAUAUUGAACCUGCAGAGGUGUAAAAAUCUAUACAGCCUCCCUUUAGCAACCACUCAACUUUGCAAUUUGAGGCGGCUUGGUCUUGAUCGCACACCAAUAAACCAGGUUCCUAACAGAAUAGGAAGAUUGAAAUUCCUCAACGAUUUAAGAGGAUUUCCAAUUGGUGGCGGAAAUGACAAUACUAAACUGCAAGACGGAUGGAAUUUGAAAGAGCUAGCUCAUCUUUCGCAAUUGUUGAGGUUUAACUUGACAAGGUUGGAAAGAGCCACUUCUUGUGAUAGUACGGAAUCAUUGUUGCUUACAGAGAAAGAGCAUCUGAAAGUGUUAACCCUAGGUUGCAGUGAACCAACAGAUGAAGCAUAUUCUAAAGAAGAUGUUAUCAAUGUUGAGAAGAUCUUUGAGCAGCUCAAACCUCCGUGCAACUUAGAAGAUCUUCGUAUUUGGAAAUUCUUUGGUUGUAGGUUGCCCACCUGGCUUGGCACUACCCAUUUGUCUUCAGUGAAAUUCUUGCAACUUAUAGAUUGCAAAUCAUGUGCACAUCUUCCAUCAAUCGGACAUCUACCCAACUUGGAAUACCUCAGAAUUGAUGGAGCAACCGCAAUCACCAAGAUAGGACCUGAAUUUGUCGGCUACAGGGUGGGCAAUCUCGAAUCCACUGAGGCACUUGCUUUCCCCAAGCUUGAAACGUUGUUGUUCAAUAAUAUGCCCAACUGGGAGGAGUGGUGCUUUGUUGAGGAGGUGGAGAAAGCCGAUGCAGUGGUUAAGGAAGGGGGAGAGGAUGGAACUACUGCUUCAAAGCCAAAGGGAGAAGAAACCCUACCACCAUGGUCGUCGUCAUGGCUGCUACCUUGUCUGAAGACGUUGGAACUUAAGAACUGCCCCAAGCUGAGAUCUCUCCCACGAGAGCUUGGACAGCAGGCCACAAACUUGAAGGAGCUCCUUAUAACAGAAGCCACAUGCUUGAAGACGGUGGAGGACCUCCGGUUCCUCUCCGUGAUUGCCCCAAUUUGA